rnacentral:rRNA from 1 species
UACGUAGGGUGCGAGCGUUAAUCGGAAUUACUGGGCGUAAAGCGUGCGCAGGCGGUUUUGUAAGCCAGAUGUGAAAUCCCCGGGCUUAACCUGGGAAUGGCAUUUGGGACUGCAAGGCUGGAGUGCGGCAGAGGAGACUGGAAUUCCCGGUGUAGCAGUGAAAUGCGUAGAUAUCAGAAGGAACAUCAGUGGCGAAGGCGGCUUUCUGGACCAAUACUGACGAUCAGGUGCGAAAGCGUGGGGAGCAAACAGG